rnacentral:rRNA from 1 species
GACGAACGCUGGCGGCGUGCCUAAUACAUGCAAGUAGAACGCUGAAGGAGGAGCUUGCUCUUCUGGAUGAGUUGCGAACGGGUGAGUAACGCGUAGGUAACCUGCCUGGUAGCGGGGGAUAACUAUUGGAAACGAUAGCUAAUACCGCAUAAGAGUAGAUGUUGCAUGACAUUUGCUUAAAAGGUGCAAUUGCAUCACUACCAGAUGGACCUGCGUUGUAUUAGCUAGUUGGUGGGGUAACGGCUCACCAAGGCGACGAUACAUAGCCGACCUGAGAGGGUGAUCGGCCACACUGGGACUGAGACACGGCCCAGACUCCUACGGGAGGCAGCAGUAGGGAAUCUUCGGCAAUGGACGGAAGUCUGACCGAGCAACGCCGCGUGAGUGAAGAAGGGUUUCGGAUCGUAAAGCUCGGUUGUAAGAGAAGAACGAGUGUGAGAGUGGAAAGUUCACACUGUGACGGUAUCUUACCAGAAAGGGACGGUUAACUACGUG